UUCGGAGAGAAAUAGAGAGAGAGAGAGAUAAACAGAAAAAAAACGAUGAUCUUUAUUAUUUCGAAUGAAAAUCAUCGAUGCUAAUCAUAUUAGCCGGACAGCAAUGAACAGUUUUGGUGUAUAUAGUAUUAUUCUAUAAACAAACACUCUGAACAAAUAUCAAAUUAUCUUACCACCACGCUCUUGACUUUUAUUUUGAUAUUGAAAAUUGAUCGAAUGUUUUUUUUCUGUGUUUUUCUCUUAACUUAAGAAAUGACCAUCGUCAUCAUCAUCAUCAAAAAGAAUCAUCAUCAAUGAAUGAAAUGUACAACAACGAUGUUUUAAUUGAAUCUAAAUUGUAAUUACACAGCAAAACAACAACAACAACGACGACGACGAAAAAAAAUGACAAUGAUCGAAAAAAUGUUGUUUAAAUCACAGAAUUCUCAUUUGGUUUUUCUUGUUUAUCAUUCCAUUGAUUCACCAGAGAAAAAGAUCGAAAAAAUUUGAAACAUAACAACAACAACAACAACAUCCUAUCUAUAUCUCAUUUGGAAUUCUUUCCAUCUUCAUCAUUCGUUUCUCAUGAUUCUAUUGCAUAAUAAAUGUGGUCUGUGUAUGUUUGUUGUUGUGUACAUUUAAUGUAAUCAUAGGUCAAGUUUUCAUUUUGGUUUCUUGUUCACUUGUUUUUCUGGUGCUCUCUGUGUAUGUGUGUGUGUGACCCAUAUAUUUUUGAGAUGGGAAUGUGAUGCUUCAAGAAUCGAAUGUCCACAAACACACACACACACACACACACACACAAACAGAAUCGAUGGUAAAAUUCAUU